ACCAUGCCAGGGUUGAAUGGCACCAAGCCGUGGGUACCGGGAGAUGACUUCGAGGGGGAACCAGGAUGAACCAGAGGAGCAGGCGGACGUCAUCGGCCACACCCACAAGUGCUGAUGCGAGCCGCAACGGUGGCUGCUGAUCGACAGCUUGCACCUAUCCUAAACUUGUAAGGUGCCCUAGAGAUGAUAGAGAAAGGGUGGUUGGUUCAGCUUGACUUCCUCCACUUGGACGUCGGGUACAAGAACGACUAUGAGAAUGUCCUCAAGGCGGUGACAGCGGUGAUGGCACCUCGGUUAGAUGAAGGAAUGUCAGGGCGCCCAGGUAGAGGACGGUGACUUCCUCCUCCUCCACUUGGAUGAUGCCGCCGCCGGGGACAAGAACAAACGACUAGAUUUUCUUGCUGCCACUUGUCUUGAAUAUGGACGGUGCCUUCGAGCUGAAAAAUGGGUGGCCGAGUUGCUGCUGCUACUUAGGCUUUCAUACGAUGGGAUGUUGUUGUUGACCGCUUCAACACGCCGAAGGUUCAGGUUUGGGUGCAGUGGUGCUUGUAUAGCCCACUGCCGGUAGCGGCGGUGAUGGCGUUGCAUGAAGGUCUAGGAGGGUGCCUAGGUACAUAACGACGACUUCCUCCUCCACUGGGGCGCACGCUGCCUCCUGGGACAAAAACAAACCACUAGGUGCCUCCUGCUGCCUACCAUUUACUGACUGAUUAUUCCAUGGCUGCCUAUCUUGCAACGCAAUCUUGUUUGGUGGUUGUGAUCUUACUUUGUUGCUUGUAGGUUGGGGUCUUGAAUGUUUGUUUUUAGUAUACUUAAGUUCAUACACCUCUUUUUGCUACAUAAAUGGGACUGUUUCUACUUAAUUGUAUGUGUUAAAUUGACUAUAGUAGUUCAUCUUUCGAGUAAACGAGAACCUGUAUACUAAUUCUGGAGUAAGCAUGCUGUACAUGAUAAUCUUAGGUUCCUUGUGUGGCAGAAACUAAAUUAAUGUCCUCUUGUCGUGAAUAAAUCUCCACUUCAUGCAUAUUUACAAAGGCAGUAGCACUAGUAAUUCUAGAUACAUUAACAGUUUGAGUAUUCUACUGUAAUUAUUCUCUUCAUUUGUGAUAACAAAAUUUCUUGCUUUCACUUUUCCUCAAUUUGGAGGGUGCCUUGGGCUAAAUAAUGGGUGGCGGUCGGUUGAGGACGAAUUCCUCCACUCGGACAUUGUCGCGAAUAAGAAUGACUU